UACAGAGGUCCCAAGCGUUGUUCGGAUUCAUUGGGCGUAAAGGGUGCGUAGGCGGCGCGGUAAGUCGGGUGUGAAAUCCCACGGCUCAACCGUGGAAGUGCACUCGAAACUGCAGGGCUAGAGUCCUGGAGAGGAAGGUGGAAUGCUUGGUGUAGAGGUGAAAUUCGUAGAUAUCAAGCGGAACACCGGUGGCGAAGGCGGCCUUCUGGACAGUGACUGACGCUGAGACGCGAAAGCGUGGGGAGCAAACAGG
rnacentral:rRNA from 1 species